UAGCCACGGUAACACCAGCUCCCCGAGUGGUCGGGACGAUUAUUGGGCCUAAAGCGUCCGUAGCCGGUCCAGUAAGUCCUCUGUUAAAAUCCAGCGAUCUAAAUCGCUGGACUGCAGAGGAUACUGCUGGACUAGGGGCGGAAGAGGCUGGCGGUAUUCCCGAGGGAGGGGCGAAAUCCCGAGAGCUCGGGAGGACCACCAGUGGCGAAGGC
rnacentral:rRNA from 1 species